rnacentral:rRNA from 1 species
UACCCAUAAUAUAUUUGAUAAGGCAUCUUAUUAAUAUUAAAGCUUCGGCACUUGAUGAUGGGUGUGCGGCUGAUUAGAUAGUUGGCGGGUAACGGCCCACCGAGUCUACGAUCAGUAGCUGAUGUGAGAGCAUGAUCAGCCACACGGGCACUGAGACACGGGCCCGACUCCUACGGGAGGCAGCAGUAAGGAAUAUUGGACAAUGGACGAAAGUCUGAUCCAGCCAUGCCGCGUGAAGGAUUAAGGUCCUCUGGAUUGUAAACUUCUUUUAUAUGGGACGAAAAAAGGGCAUUCUUGUUCACUUGACGGUACCAUAUGAAUAAACACCGGCUAACUCCGUG